UGCCAGCCGCCGCGGUAAUACGGGGGGUGCAAGCGUUGUCCGGAAUUACUGGGCGUAAAGGGCGUGUAGGCGGCUUAUUAAGUCAGAUGUGAAAGCCCACGGCUUAACCGUGGAACUGCAUUUGAAACUGGCGAACUUGAGUACGGGAGAGGAAAGUGGAAUUCCGAGUGUAGGGGUGAAAUCCGUAGAUAUUCGGAGGAACACCAGUGGCGAAGGCGGCUUUCUGGACCGAUACUGACGCUGAGACGCGAAAGCGUGGGGAGCAAACAGGAUUAGAUA
rnacentral:rRNA from 1 species